UCUGUAUGGGAAGUAGAGGAAGGGAGUACAGACAUUUCAAUGUAACCAAUGAACAAAUAAAUUAACUUAAAACAGAAAAAAAAGAAUUUAAAUUUAUUGUGAAAAUAAGUUAAGAAACUUUGACCCAAAGAAAGCAUUCUUAUAGUCAGUAUUCAUCCGUUAUUCAUACAAAAAAAGAAAGGCAAGAAAGAAAUGGCCAACAUUAGAAUUCUGGCAUAUGAGAUAUUGCCAUAAAUAGGAGAAAUCUCCCAAUUGAUGUGGAAAGGGCUCGUUAUUCUUACCUUGAAUGUAACUGUGAAAGUCAGUUACUAGAAUUGGUUCCCAAGGAGAAAAGAAUGACUAAGGAUAUUUGCCAGUUCCUGUUCUCCCACCCACACCUUCCUCCUCUAUUUGAUAUUUCUACUCCCAUUUCCACAGAAACUCAGCUUUUAAAAUUAGGAAGUUGGCAAAGCCUGCCUUCAGCACCCUCCUACUCUCCCUCUCAAUUGCCAUGAUACUUUCUAUUUUCCAAGUGAAUUCAUUAUGCUCCCUUGCUGCCCUAAGGUCUUAGUUGCAACUGGUUUUAUGGCCCUGUCCAACUGGAUUGCUCCAUUUUCUAGCCCUUCUCUUCAUCCUUCCUACAUUCAUAUCAAUUGGCCUGCCUUGUACUGAUUCAGUUAGAUUUAACAUAGGUUCAUUAAGGGCCUACUAUAUGUAAAAAAUUAUGCUAGAUUCUGGAGGGACAGAGAAAAACAAACCCCAGACUUGCCUCAAGAACCAGCAAUUUUCAUGGAUUCCAUAUCUUGUUUACCCAAUACUCAGGCCUCUUCUCUCAGAUUUGCCAGGUGACUACUUUUCUGGAUAAAUACUAUGUUUAUACCUUAAAGAUGCAACACAAACUCAUUCAUUUGGCAUUUUAAAUACUCCACAAUUGCAUUCAAGUCUAAUUUUCCUUGUUUCUGAUACUUCAUUCCCUUCUACAUGCUCUCCAAUUCAGUCCAAUUGGCUUAUGUGCUAUCCCUUGAACUUUUUCCUUCAUCUUUGUAAAAUUUAAAUUAUAUCUCUAAUAAUAUAAAUAUUAUAUGUUAUGAGGUUUAUUAAGGAUUAUUAGAAAUCAAGGAAUAAAGAAGAUACAAAAUAAAAAAAAACACAUGCCCAUGGCUGAUUAGCCCAUUUAAAAUCCUGGUGCUUAGCUUACAAAGGAAGAGAGCAUGGGAGGUGUUACUGCCAGUUAAAUACCAAUUGUGAUCUCACCAACAUGGAGAUUCAGGAAAGAUUAUAGGGAAUUUUGGUAAAUACCAAGGACUUCUGGGGAAUAAAGUCUAGGGCUCAAAAAUCUCCAUUUAUAUAUCUUACACCUUGGUACCUUUGCCCAGGCUUCAGACAAUGCUGCUCCCUUCAGGUCUGCAUCUUAUAAUUCCCACCACUUCCUUCAAAGUAAGGUCAAGGUGUACCAUCUCCUGUGGGAACUUGUUAGUGACUCAUUUCAUUUUUCUUCCUCUACCUCAAAUGAUAAUGCUUACCCUUCUAUGUUUAUAUGCUAUGUGUUCUUACUUUGUAUUUUUUAUCCCAGCACCUAGCAUACAGUAGGAGCUUCUACAUUGCUUCUUCAUUGGAUUAUAUUGGAUUUUGGAAGAUUCCCAUAGAUGAGAAAUAACUCUGUCAUCUACUUUAUUUACUCCGUGACUCUGAAUAAUUUUUGGCCAUUAAGAAAAUGUUAAAGAUGGAGAAAAGAUCGAAGAUGGAAAUUGACCAUGCUUGCAGAAUUGGUGGUUAGACCCUGCAGGUAAUUCCAAAAGAGAAGAAAACCCUCCAAACCAUGGCAGCAACACUGGAAUAAGAACAGAGGAUCUUACUUUGAAGGAGACCAGAGUCAUUUGUUAUUGUCUAAAUGCUGGCAUAUUUCAAUUGAAUAAAUAAUCAUUUAAUUAAUCAAA